rnacentral:rRNA from 1 species
UACGUAGGGGGCAAGCGUUGUCCGGAAUCAUUGGGCGUAAAGCGCGCGUAGGCGGCCAGAUUAGUCCGGUGUGAAAGUCAGAGGCUCAACCUUUGAAUGCCGCUGGAAACUGUCUGGCUUGAGUCCGGAAGGGGCGAGUGGAAUUCCUGGUGUAGCGGUGAAAUGCGCAGAUAUCAGGAGGAACACCGGUGGCGAAGGCGGGUCUCUGGGCCGAUACUGACGCUGAGGAGCGAAAGCGUGGGGAGCGAACAGG